rnacentral:rRNA from 1 species
GUGCCAGCAGCCGCGGUAAUACGUAGGGUCCAAGCGUUAUCCGGAAUUACUGGGCGUAAAGAGUUGCGUAGGUGGCAUAGAAAGCGAAUAGUGAAAGCGUGUGGCUCAACCAUACAUCCAUUAUUUGAACUACUAAGCUAGAGGACGAGAGAGGUAGAUGGAAUUCCUAAUGUAGGGGUAAUAUCCGUAGAUAUUAGGAGGAACACCGAUGGCGUAGGCAGUCUACUGGCUCGUUUCUGACACUAAGGCACGAAAGCGUGGGGAGCAAACAGGAUUAGAAACCCCAGUAGUCC